AUGGGUCUUCUUGAAACCCUGAAAGACUGGGACUGGGACUUUGACCAUAGACUACAUGGGGUUGGCUUAAAGAUCUCUGGUAGUAUAACUCUAGUGCAUAUGCUUCCCCAGAUAUCUAGUUCUUGUUCAUCCAAGAUGUAUCGCACAACCAAUCUCUUGGUCACCCUCAUCAUCCUAAGCAUCACUUCAUUUUCACAAGUGGUGCAUGCACUAGCACUACAACCCCAGUAUGCCCAUGGCGGUGGCUGCAUCCCUGCCGAGAGGGCCGCCUUGCUUGCCUUCCAGAAGGGGAUCACAAGUGACGGCGCUGAUAUCCUCGCCUCGUGGGAAGGGUAUGAUUGCUGUCGGUGGAGGGGCAUCAGCUGCAGCAACCGAACAGGCCAUGUCAUCAAGCUUCACCUUCGCAAUACGUUUCCGGGCCCUGACGCCUAUAACUACAAUGGGUGUGAUGAUGCCAAUUCAUUGUUCGGCAAGAUAAGUCCCUCUCUGCUUUCCUUGAAGAAUCUAGAGCACAUGGAUCUUAGCAUGAACUGUUUGCUAGGGCCAAAUAGCCAUAUUCCUCAGUUUUUGGGAUCCAUGGAUAACUUGAGAUACCUUAACCUCUCUGGCAUUCCAUUUACCGGUGGAGUUCCUUCUCAGCUUGGUAACUUGUCUAAGUUGCAACAUCUUGACCUUGGCGAGGGUUAUUCCGGGAUGUACUCAGCGGACAUCACUUGGUUAGCAAAGCUACCCUCGCUGCGGUAUCUUAGUAUGAGCACAAUAAAUCUCUCAAGGAUAGCUGACUGGCCUCGUCCCUUGAAUAUGAUUCCAUCACUGAGAGUUAUCAAUCUUGCUGGAUGCUCACUUGAUACUGCAAGUCAAUCGCUUCCCUACCUUAACCUCACAAAACUUGAGAAGCUUGAUUUGUCCUCGAAUAAUCUAGGCCACUCAAUUGCAUCAAGUUGGUUUUGGAAAGUGACGAGCCUCAAAUAUCUCAGCCUUCGUGCGACUCAGUUAUUUGGAAAUUUUCCGGAUGCACUAGGAAACAUGACAUCACUCAAGGUACUUGAUUUGGCAUUCAACAAUUUGAAUAAGACUGAAAACCUUCAAAGUCUUCUUAAAAACCUUUGCUGCUUGGAAAUCCUCGACCUCUCUAAAAAUGUUAUGAAUGGAAAUAUAGUGGCGGUGAUGGAGGGGUUGCCGGAAUGCGCACAGGAAAAGUUGCUAGAGCUGCAUUUCAGUGAAAACAAUUUCAUCAGGACCUUGCCAAAUUUUAUAGGGGAAUUCAGCAGCUUGAGCAUGCUUGACCUGUCCAGAAACAACCUUGCUGGACCUAUACCGCCAGGGCUUUGGAAUUUGACCCGUCUAGCCAUCCUUGAUCUCAGCUGGAAUCAACUCAACGGGAACGUACCAACUGAAAUUUCUUCUCUGAAGAAUCUGGUUUCUCUAAGACUAAGCAACAACAGACUUGGUGGUGCAAUCACAGAAGGACACUUUGCAAAUUUAAAAAGUUUAAAGAAAAUAGACUUGUCUUCCAAUAAUUUGAAGAUUGCACUGGAUUCAGAUUGGCUUUCUCCCUUUAGGCUACAGUCUGGAGAUUUUGCAUCUUGCCAAAUAGGGCCUUUAUUUCCAGCUUGGCUUCAGCAGCUGCGGGGAAUCGAUUCACUUAACAUUUCAAACACUGGUUUAGUGGACAAAUUUCCUGAUUGGUUCUGGUAUACAUUUUCACGGGCAACUGAUCUCGACAUCUCUAACAACCAAAUAAGUGGCACCUUGCCAGCACAUCUGGAUGGCAUGGCUUUGGAAAAACUCCACCUAGGUUCAAACCGGCUCACCGGGUCAAUGCCUUCGUUGCCUGCAAAUAUUACUUGGUUAGACAUCUCCAAUAAUAACUUUUCAGGAGUAAUACCAUCCAAUUUUGAAGCCUCCCGACUUCAAAUCUUGAUUGUCUAUUCAAAUCGAAUUGGUGGGUACAUUCCCGAAUCUAUUUGCAAACUGCAACAGUUAGUGUAUCUGGAUUUGUCAAACAAUUUUUUGGAGGGUGAAAUUCCUCAAUGUUUUGACAUCAAAAAACUACAGUUUCUUCUGCUCAGUAACAACAGUUUAUCAGGAAAAUUCCCAACAUUUUUGCAGAACAACACUGCUAUGGUGUUUUUGGACCUUGCAUGGAAUAAGUUGUCUGGAAGAUUGCCUACAUGGAUAGGAGAUCUGGGGAAAUUAAGAUUUGUACUACUGUGCCACAAUGCAUUUUGUGAUAAUAUUCCGGUCGAAGUAACAAGGCUCAGGAAUCUUCAAUACUUGGAUCUAUCAGCCAAUAAUUUCUCUGGUGCAAUACCUUGGCAUCUAUCAAACCUGACAUUUAUGAGAAGGAUACAAAAGGAAUUCAUGGGUAUAUAUGACACAUAUAAUGCAUCCGCGCGCAUUGGCGAGAUGGGAGCUGGUCACCUGGGAGAAAUAUUGCCAGUAGUAACAAAAGGACAUCAACUUUUAUAUGGUGGAGCAAUUGUUUAUGUUGUGAGCAUCGAUCUAUCAGACAACUCCUUGACCGGUGAAAUCCCUACACACAUCACUUCCCUUGCCGAGCUCAUGAAUUUGAACCUGUCAUCGAACAAAUUGAGCGGACAAAUCCCAAACAUGAUCGGGGCCAUGCGGUCACUGGAAUCGCUCGACCUCUCUGAGAACAAGCUCUCUGGUGAAAUCCCAUGGAGCUUGUCAAGCCUGACGUAUUUGUCCGCCCUUAACCUGUCCUACAACAAUUUGUCCGGAAGGAUACCUUCUGGCCCGCAACUUGACACCCUCAUCUCGGACAACAUAUACAUCGGCAACAGCGGGCUUUGUGGGCCUCCUCUCAGCAGAAGUUGUUCAGGAAAUAAUUCUUCCAUCAUUCAUGGUGACGUCGGAAGCAGCAAGCAAGAGCUUGUUCCACUAACCUUUUAUUUCGGCCUUGUGCUGGGACUUGUGGUGGGGCUCUGA
rnacentral:rRNA from 1 species